rnacentral:lncRNA from 10 species
AAAAAAAAGAAACCUGGAACAAAGACUGAUUCUGCUCUAUGAAGCCUGUUCUAUGAAGGUUCAACCUGCUCACCUGCUUUCUUGAAGCCCUAAGGGACCUGACUGAUUCACAUGACCAUGAUGGAACUUGAGGAAAACUAUUUUGCUGGUCUGAAUUACUUUCAGCCCCUAUGGUUGGAAGAGAUUGCCACGUAUGCUCAGGGAGGCUUGGGGCAAAGAGGCUUCCUUCCUACGUCUCAGCAAAGGCAUAAUAUCUCUUCAUCUAGUUGAUUUCUCACCUACAACAGCAAAAACUGCUUAGUCUUCCACCACUCACUGGUUUACCACUGCUCAGGAGACCCUAAUCUGACCUAACUGCUAAGAAGUCAAAACUAUGAGCAGGGAGGUCAUACAGAGGUGUCCUGUGUCUAUCCAUACCAGAAAGUGCACAUCGACAGGGAACACAUGAUGGGAAGGCCAUAAGCAC